CCGCCAGGCACGCCGGGGGCUGUAGUCUUCCCGCGGGGUGAAGGGGGGCGCGGCGCGGCUGCGCGGUGCGGCGGCCCGGGCGGGGGGCGGUCAGCCGGCGGCGGGGCCGGCCGGAUCCGGGCUGGCACGCCCACCCCUGCGGCGGCGGAGGGCGGCGAGGGCGGCUCGGUCGCCCGGCGGGGACGGUCCUUUCCUCUCCCCUCCCUCCUUCCCUCCCCGCCCGUCCCCGGCACCUGCCCGGCCCUCGGCCCCUCCCGCGGACAACAGCGGCCCGCACACCGCCGGGGGAGCCGCUUCCCCUCCGCCGCCGCUCGCCCCGAGCCGGGAUGUUCUCCAGGAAGGGCCACGCCGAUGUCAGGAAAUCCACCCAGAAGGCGCUGGACCCCAAGCGGGACGUACUCACCCGCCUCAAGCACCUCCGGGCGCUGCUGGAUAUUGUGGAUGGAAGUGACCUGAAGCAAUUUUUUGAGAACAAUUAUUCUCAAAUUUAUUUUAUAUUCUAUGAAAACUUCAUAACACUGGAAAAUAGCUUGAAACAAAAAGGGAAUAAAUCACAAAGGGAGGAGCUGGACUCCAUUCUCUUUCUUUUUGAAUUUUGUUUCCUGCAGAAGAUAUUGCAGCUACUACCUGAGAGGAUUUUUUAUCGAUGGCAUUUUCGCAGUAUAGGGUCGAUUCUGAAGAAACUUUUGCACACUGGAAAUUCUCUCAAGAUAAGAUGUGAAGGAAUCCGACUGUUUCUUCUCUGGCUUCAAGCGCUUCAGACUAACUGUGCGGACGAGCAGAUACUAAUAUUUGCGUGCCUUGUGCCUGGCUUUCCACCUAUUAUGUCCUCACGAGGUCCCUGUACACUAGAUAACCUCAUUAGUCCUCCUGUUUCGCCAGACGCUAAGAUUUUUCCAGAAGAAAUAACCCCACUUUUGCCAGCUGUCUCUGGAGAGAAAAUUGCUGAAGACCAAACCUGCUAUUUUCUUCAGCUGCUAUUAAAAUAUAUGGUAAUUCAGGCUGCAAGCUUAGAGUGGAAGAAUAAGGAGAACCAAGACACUGGUUUUAAGUUUCUCUUUACCUUGUUUAGAAAAUACUAUCUUCCUCACUUGUUUCCAUCUUUUACAAAGCUAACCAACCUCUACAAACCUGUUCUUGAUAUUCCCGAUGUAAGGCCAAGACCAGUAUACAUCACUGCAACACGAAACAACGAAAAUGUCUACAGCACGAAAAUCCCAUAUAUGGCAGCUCGCGUUGUUUUUAUUAAGUGGCUUGUUACCUUCUUUCUUGAAAAGAAAUAUUUAACUGCUGUUCAGAAUACAAAAAAUGGAGGAGAAGUGCUCCCUAAAAUUAUUCAGACUGUUGGUGUUGUAAACCAAGAUAAAAACGCAGAGCUGGAAACCAGUAUGCCUUACGCAAGCGAGCAGGAGAGAAACCAUUCUAACAGCAGCACCUUGUCCGACAGAAGGCUCAGCAAUUCCAGCCUCUGCAGCAUCGAAGAGCAGCAUCGGACCGUCUAUGAGAUGGUGCAGAGAAUCCUCUUAUCCACUCGAGGAUAUGUUAACUUUGUUAAUGAGGUGUUUCGACAAGCGUUUUUACUGCCGCCUUCUGAUGUAUCAGCAACGCGAAAAGUCGUUAAGGUCUAUCGAAAGUGGAUAUUGCAAGAGAAACCUGUGUUCAUGGAGGAGCCGGACAAAAAGGAAGACAGUCAGGACGCUGUUGUCAACUUAGAGGAUUCAUCAGUGCAAACGGAUGGUAAACAUCUUUCCUCUGACCAUUCAGGACAUAAGCGCUCGUCCAGCUGGGGAAGAACGUACUCCUUUACCAGUGCUGUUAACAGAGGAUGCAUAUUAGAAGAUGAGGACAAAAAUGUUAAAGCUGGUGCUCAAGCUGCGUUACAGGUAUUCUUGACAAACUCUGCGAACGUUUUCUUACUGGAACCAUGCAUUGAAGUCCCGGUGCUUCUGAAGGAGCAAGUUGAUGCUUGCAAAGCAGUUCUGAGUAUCUUUAGGCGCAUGAUAAUGGAACUGUCAAUGAAUAAAAAGACAUGGGAACAGAUGUUACAGAUACUGCUUAGAAUAACGGAAGCUGUGAUGCAGAAGCCAAAAGAAAACCAAAUAAAGGAUAUGUUCGCUCAAAGCAUGUCGGGAUUACUUUUCCGAACCCUCAUUGUGGCUUGGAUCAGAGCAAACCUGAGCGUUUACAUUUCUCGGGAGCUGUGGGAUGAUCUGCUUAGCGUUCUGUCCGCCCUCACGGACUGGGAGGAGCUCAUAAACGAGUGGGCCAACAUCAUGGACUCCCUAACAGCGGUGCUGGCAAGAACGGUGUAUGGGGUGGAAAUGACAAACUUACCCUUGGAUAAGCUCAGUGAACAAAAAGAAAAAAAGCAGAGAGGAAAAGGUGGCAUUUUAGAGCCUCAGAAGACAGCGGUAGUGGGAAGAUCUUUUUCAUUAAGCUGGAAAAGUCAUCCUGAAAUUGUGGAGCCAAUGAGAUUCAGAAGUGCUACGACUUCUGGAGCCCCGGGAGUUGAGAAAGCAAGAAAUAUUGUUCGUCAAAGAGCAACAGCUAAGCGAAGCCAGUCUAUCAGCAACUGUGUUCAUCUUUAUGAGGCUUUGCCAGCUACUAAAAGUGUACCUCUUCUGCUUCACACUGUGAGCUCUCUCUUACCUGGUAUCUCUUACACUUCUUGCUCUCACAGACUGUCAGAAGUUGAAGAAUCUCAACAGCUGGAAAAUUCAACAGGAACAGAAGCUACGGGCCUAUUUGUAGACCAAGAGCAGCAGCUAACUCGAAGUAGCAGCACUUCAGAUAUUACAGAUCAGUUUCCAUCUGAUGUUUUUCAAGGUAAAAAGGCUGGGAGUUCGCAUAAUUUAUCGUCUUCAGACUCCAAAUCAGUUCAGGAAAAUAAGGGAUGUACAAAGAAGGAACACGAAGCUGAGCAAGUACUGGUACGAAGAAGCAGUAGUACAGCUGAAUUAGAUCUGAAAGCAGAUUUGCAGCAAUCACAUGGAAAUUAUAGAGAGAGAGAAAAAAGUGAAAGCGUUAGCAGUGACACAUCGAUUGGCUAUAAUAAUGAAGUAGAGAUCGCACUCAUCCCCUGGCAACCUUCUGAAGAAGACCAUGAAGUUAAUGCAUCGGCAGAUGUUUGUGCAGAUCCCGAUGCACCUCGCUGGCUUCAGCUUAGUCCUUCAGAUACUGCAAAUUUAACAGACAGUAGCGAAUUCCUUGCUGAUGACUGCAGUAUAAUUGCUGGUGGAAGCCUUAUUGGUUGGCACCCUGAUUCUGCUGCUGUGUUAUGGAGGAGGAUCUUGGGAAUUCUUGGAGAUGUAAACAACAUAAAGUCACCUAAAAUCCAUGCAAAAGUUUUUGGGUAUCUUUACGAGUUGUGGUAUAAACUUGCAAAGAUACGGGACAACCUUGCUAUAAGUGUGGACAAUCAGUCUACUCCUUCUCCUCCUGUCUUAAUUCCUCCUCUCAGAAUAUUUGCAUCGUGGUUGUUCAAGGCAACCACCCUGCCAAAUGAAUAUAAGGAAGGCAAACUUCAGGCGUACAGGCUGAUCUGCGCUAUGAUGACUAGGCGUCAAGACGUUCUGCCAAAUUCUGAUUUCCUGGUUCAUUUUUAUUUUGUGAUGCACCUUGGCUUAACAAGCGAAGACCAGGAUAUCUUAAAUACUGUCAUAAAGCACUGCCCACCUUGGUUUUUCUUCCUGGGCUUACCUGGCUUUACGAUGCUGAUCGGAGACUUCAUUACGGCGGCGGCCAGGGUUCUGAGCACCGACGCGCUGGAGGCUCCCCGUUCAGAAGCUCACACCAUCCUUGGUUCUCUUGUCUGCUUUCCAAAUAUCUACCAAGAAAUCCCACUCUUGCGGCCCAUUUCAGAAGCCGGUGAUAUCAUUGCAGGAACAGCAGAUGUGAAGUGCUACCUCAUAAAUAUUUUACUGAAGAACGCUACAGAAGAGCCAAGUGAAGCUGCAAGAUGCAUAGCCAUUUGUGGCCUUGGAGUUUGGAUAUGUGAAGAGCUAACGCAGUGCACAAACCAUCCCCAAGUGAAGGAGGCAAUCAAUGUCAUAGGUGUGACACUGAAGUUUUCUAAUAAACUGGUGGCUCAAGUAGCCUGUGAUGUUCUUCAGCUGCUGGUUUCUUACUGGCAAAAGCUCCAGAAGUACGAAUCCUCUCUGUCCAGAAAAAUUACCGAAAUCCUCGUGGCCACUAUUGCAUUUCUUUUGCCGAGUGCUGAAUACUCCUCUGUGGAAGCAGAUAAAAAGUUUAUCGUUUCACUGCUACUUUGCUUGUUGGAUUGGUGUAUGGCAUUACCCAUGAAAAUGCUGCUGGAGCCGGUGUCUGCUGGUGUUCUUGAAGAUCAACAUACGUCCAAAGCUCCUCUACUGGACUAUAUUUACAGAGUUCUGCACUGUUGCGUGAAUGGCUCCAGCACGUAUACCCAGCAAAGCCAUUACGUGCUGAGUCUGGCGGAUCUCUCGUCCAGCGAUUACGACCCAUUUUUGCGACUGGGGAAUGUCAAGAGCUCUGAGCCAGCCCAGUGCCACUCCUCCGCGGAUUUGGGCAACCUGCUCACUGUCGCCGAGGAAAAAAGGAGGAGGAACUUAGAAUUGAUCCCUUUGACAGCGCGGAUGGUUAUGACUCACCUGGUGAAUCACCUGAGCCACUACCCGCUCAGCGGAGGCCCUGCCAUUCUCCACAGUCUCCUUAGUGAGAACCACGACAACUCCUACGUGGAGUCCUCAGAGCUGUCCUCGGAAGUCUUCCGGAGUCCCAACCUGCAGCUCUUUGUGUUUAAUGACAGUACUCUUAUAUCUUACCUCCAAAUCCCUGCAGAGAAGACGACAGACACUGAACCACCAGCAUCCCCCUCGGACGUAAGAGUGAUUGUCAGAGAUAUCUCAGGGAAGUACUCUUGGGAUGGCAGAAUAUUGUAUGGACCUUUGGAGGGCUGCCUUCCACGGCAGAGCGCAACAAACGCGUUUGUGAUCUCAGGCAACCCUGAACACCACUUCGUUUCCCAGAAGGACAUUUCUCAGGUGGAAGAAGGAGAAGAUGCUCUCGACCAACUGCUGGAAAAGAUCGGUAACACCAGUCCUGAAUGCCUUUUACAUCCCCAGCGAAAGCUGAAUGAGCCAUCGCCACCACCCUUUGGUAUGAGCUAUGACCAAGAGAACGCGAUCACUGAAGCCCUAAUGAGGCAGAGUGCCCAGGAAAAAGAGUACAUAUUUAAAUGCAGCUCGGACUUCAGUAUGAAGGUGGCCCGUCAAGAAGAACCACGUCCUGCUGAACCUCAAGCGUCCUUUUAUUUCUGUCGGCUGUUGCUAAAUGACUUGGGAAUGAACUCCUGGGAUAGAAGGAAAAGCUUUCAUCUUCUUAAGAAAAAUUCAAAAUUACUGCGAGAACUGAAAAAUCUGGACUCCCGCCAAUGCCGUGAAACUCACAAGAUUGCGGUGUUUUACAUUGCCGAAGGACAGGAGGACAAAUGUUCAAUACUGUCCAAUGCAAGGGGAAGCCAGGCAUAUGAAGAUUUUGUUGCUGGACUGGGCUGGGAGGUGGAUCUUUCAACACAUGGUGGGUUUAUGGGUGGCCUGCAGCGCAAUGGCAGCACAGGACAAACGGCACCCUAUUAUGCUACCUCGACCGUGGAAAUCAUUUUUCAUGUGUCUACAAGAAUGCCAUCAGAUUCAGAUGAUUCACUGACCAAAAAGCUUCGUCACUUGGGAAAUGAUGAGGUUCACAUCGUCUGGUCUGAACACACCAGGAACUACCGCAGGGGCAUUAUACCAACAGAUUUUGGAGAUGUUUUAAUUGUUAUUUAUCCAAUGAAGAAUCACAUGUUUUUCAUAGAGAUCAUGAAGAAACCGGAGGUGCCAUUUUUUGGUCCUCUCUUCGAUGGCGCGAUCGUGACUGCAAAGCUGCUGCCAAGCCUCAUAUGUGCCACGUGCAUCAAUGCCAGCAGAGCCGUCAAGUCCCUCAUCCCGCUCUACCAGAGCUUUUAUGAGGAAAGAGCUCUGUAUCUCGAAGCAAUAAUCCAGAACCAUAAAGAAGUAAUGACGUUUGAGGAUUUUGCCGCUCAGGUCUUUUCUCCCUCUCCCAGCUACUCCCUCGGUGGAACUGAUUAGAAUAUGUAAUGGUCUCGUUACGGUAAUUGCUGCAGUCAAUGGUCUUGAAGUAUAAAUCUGGCUGCCUCACCACGAGCGCGAGCGCGGACCUGACUGUCACCAUAGGAAUAGAGUUAGCAGAGCAGACCUCCCCCACGUUACCACGUGCCUCCAAGAGCAGAGUCUCUGGGAAGCUUCGCCGCUCCGCCAGCGCUCUCAGCAAGUCUUCCAACUAAGCUGCUGCGGGAGCAGAACUCCGCAGGGACCCAGAAGACCUUAAAAGAAGAGAAAUUAUUUACUGCCUCUAGAGAACUCGCAGUUUGGGAUGAGCACAUGUUGAAGGGGACGGGCAAGGGGUUUGCUCUGGAAAACUGCAGUUCUCGCAUUCAGACAGACGUGGCCGAUGAUGGGACGUCACCUGCAUUAUCGUUGUGCGUUUCACUCCAUCGUUUCCGUCACAAAGCGAAGGAAGGCGGCGGGGAGCUCUCACCGCCGGUGUGGCAUCGGGCGGGUGGCAGCACGCACUUCUUCUCCCCGAGCACCUGUGUACAAGUACUGGUGUGGCAGCAAGAGGACAUGAACCAGUAUUGAAACCAGUUAUUUAAUGUAACUUUAGAGCACUGCUUUUAGUCGUUCCGGUCAACACUUAAUUGUAUGUUAGGGAAUUUUGUCUAAAUAGAGGUUUUUCAUAUGACUAGCCACGUAACGAAUGUUCCCCUCCUCUGGCGCGCGGGUGAAUGAUGGAGGUGCUUUCCAGUCCGUGUUCAACCCCUGCUCCCCUUCUGUGGUCAUCCGGCACCAGUUCUGUGCAUGUAGCUAAGAAUCAGUAGUCAUCAAAGAGGUCAUUUACCUGGAGUUCCGGAGGGUACUGCCAGCGUCACAAAGUGGCAGCAGCUGCAUUAAAAUCUGUUUAAUCACGGUAUCUUGUUCAAAGUCAUCCAUCACUAACCUAUCGUGUAAAAUCCUGAAGCCGAAGAUGUUCCAGCCCCGCUCGCUCGUGCCGGGUCCAGCGCAGGAGAGCAGAGGACCAGGCUCCUCCUUAGCGCCCGUCGGGUGCCCACCUGCGGCAGAGGUGGGGUGACUGGGGUGGCAGCAUCCAGCGCAGGCGGGAGGUGCCAGGUGGCAGCCACCGCGCCAGCUGGGGUCAACCAUUUACCUUCAGGCCUUCGCGUUUAUUUUCGAGAGGAGCCCUCUUCCUCAUGCUGGCUCUGGCUUCGGGGUUGCUGUCUCCUGCGCAAUAGUGCAUGCGAUGGCGGUGUACUGCGAACUACUCACGAGACAAACAAAAUGAACCACAUUUCUUUUUGAAGAGCAAAUGCCACCACCCAUGUGCCACGACUGCUCACCACGGUUGGAAUAAUUGGAGAGUACACCUGUUAGGUAACCACCUCGCCUUGUCACAACGUCAGGGCAACAGUCCGCAACUUGAAGCACCUCUGGUUAGAAUAAAAUAAAGCCGAAGGCUUUGGAGGACGUGCAGCGUCCCCUUGGCACUUUGCGUAGUAAGCAAAUCUGGUAUUUUCCAUCGGAAGUGCAUUGCAGUCUAUGCGUAUCGUAGGUUUCUGGGGGUUAAAACUUUUUAUAGCUGAAAAAAAAAAACCCUGUAACAUAAGACCACAAGAAAUCUGAGGGACACCCUGCAGCCACUCGCUGUGAAGGAGGGUGGCCAGCCGGAAGGCAAAGAGCUGUCGCUGCUCCACCGUGAAGGGACUUCUGAGAGACACCGCGCGCAGCAGAACGUCAGCUGGGAAGGGACCCACCAGCGGCCGAUGCGGAGCUGGGCGCCCCGUUCAGCCUGAGCACACGGGGGCGAGGAGAAGAGGCGGCUGUAAAGCAAAUGCCAACUGCGUUAACAUUAGUUCUUGAUGUUUUGAACAUUGGUGUCUGCCCGUUCUCGAGUGUUGCGUCCGGCCCCUCCAGCCCUCCAAACCCUCCUCAGGUCUGGUUCACCUUGUUGCUUUUUGGGGUUUUUUUUGUUUGUUUUGCUACUUGGCAUUCAAAUGCAGACCUCUCAACUUAAUGCGCUUUGGUUUAAGUGACAAGGGUUUGGUUUUUGGUGAAGCAAAAUGCACCACUGGGCCACCAUUAUUUUGGUUUUGCACUUCUUAACUUGGGCGUUAGCGUGACCGUCCGUCUGUUUGUGUGUCAGCGUCCGGCCCUGUGACGUCCCUGUAAAUAGUCUCUUUUGUAACUCUCGCCAGGAACAUGGAGGGAGCUCCGUACUUCGCUGUGGGCUCGGUGCAGCGGGUUCUGUGGCCGGCGGGGCAGGCGGCUCAGCCCACGCUGCCCGGAGCAGGAGCCGGAGCCGGUGGCGCUGAGCAGGGACCUGCUGGCACGCCAGGACACGGGCGACGCAGCCGUCCUGCUGGGAAGGAGCCUUGUUUGCUAAGGGGUUUGAUUUUCUGCCUCACGUUUUGGUUUUGAUUUCUACUGAUUGCGUGUCGGUAAAGGAAAUUAGAAAAUAAAACACGUAUUUAAUUUAUUUUCUUUUCAGGACUGGAUAGGCGAGGCUGUCUUGUUAAGUUAUCUUGUUAGUUAUCCAAUAAAUGGUCUGAAAUAAUUUCAAAGGCAUUCUUCUGAAUAAAAGGAGACUUUUCUCUUUAGAGCAAUAUGCAUCUCUAAUUCAGGGAAAAAUUAAAACGCCGAUGAAAAUAGUAUUUUCCUGAUGUCAAAAAAAAACCCUAAAAAAUAUUAAUUUGUAAAAACAAAUUCAACUGCGGUUUUGUACUAUGGACUGUUCUGUCACCCCUCACAAACUUAAUAAACCUGAGCUCACAACGAAA